rnacentral:misc_RNA from 1 species
UUAAGUUCAGCGGGUAGUCUCACCCGAUUUGAGGUCAAGGGGUCGAGGGAGCUUCCCGAGAAGGGAGGCACAUGCUCGAACAUUGUCUCAACGCAAGGUCCAGACGGUUAGAAGCAGGUCCCAAAAGGUGACAGAGCCAUAAACCAAGACAUGGAAACAUCUUAUCACACGUCGAGGAUCGGCAAAGAGGACCCUGCUAA